rnacentral:rRNA from 1 species
UAGGAUUCCCUCAGUAGCUGCGAGCGAACAGGGAAGAGCCCAGCACCGAAUCCCGCGGCCGAUAACGGGCGCCGGGAAAUGUGGUGUUAGGGAGGAUCCGUUCAUCCCGAGGUCGUGCGGUGCGUCCAAGUCCUUCUUGAACGGGGCCACAGCCCAUAGAGGGUGCCAGGCCCGUAGUGACCGCUGCCGAUCGCGGGAGGAUCUCUCCUCAGAGUCGGGUUGCUUGAGAGUGCAGCCCUAAGUGGGUGGUAAACUCCAUCUAAGGCUAAAUAUGACCACGAGACCGAUAGCGAACAAGUACCGUGAGGGAAAGUUGAAAAGCACUUUGAAGAGAGAGUUCAAGAGUACGUGAAACCGUUCAGGGGUAAACCUGAGAAACCCGAAAGGUCGAAAGGGGAAAUUCAUUCGCGUUUUACGCGUCGUCCGCGCCUUCCUUUCUUCGAACCUACGUCGAACGCGUGCACUUUUCCCCUAGUAGGACGUCGCGAUCCGUUGGGCGUCGGUCCUUGCGGUGGAGCCCGCGCGGACGUUUCGCUCGGACCCGCAGUGUCCCGGCCGACUCGCUCGACGGUAUACAGAUGGCGAGGGGCCGCUACUCAGUUAGCGUUCGGCCUGCGGCAAGCGCGUUCGUGACGGCGAUCGGACCUGGUGCCGGUCCUGUCCCCGAACGACUGUUGGCCGUUCUCGAACAGACCUCAUUGAAACGCCGAUCUGCGACGCUAUAGCUUUGGGUACUUUCAGGACCCGUCUUGAA